AUAAACGGGCGCUGGGGCAGAUGCGCUGACUCCGGAGUCCGAAAGAGUCCUGCCGCUAGACUCGCAGCAAGUAGUCAAUGAAUUUGUAGUCAUCAGGAACUGAGGCUGGAAGACUGCUUGCAAGAAACGAAUCUGCCUACAGUGACAGCUCGAUUGAGGGUGAUUGAUGACUAUCUAGAGACCAGCCAACAUAAUAUAAUAUCGGCCGCAUAAUUGCUUUGAUUUACAGAUGAAUGUACUUGUCCUCAAAUUAAGUUAGACUUUAUAAAGCAAGUUGUUGGCAUUUAGGAGAGUUGGGAAAAUAAUGAAUUCUUUAGAAAAUUAAAUUAACUAUGCAGUCCGGCGAAAGAAUACCUCUAAGUAACAAAACAAGGGUACAUUUGGGUCAGUCGGAGGUCCUGUAUCGGUAGCAAUUUUAAUCUUCAUUAAAUUAACUAAUAACAACAACAAAGUACCGCUCUGAAAUAUUGAAGCGCUAAAGACAGGUCUAAUAAUCAUCAAGGCAGAGUAAAAAUGCAUGUAAUUGAUUACUCAGAGUUAUUCAUUGUUUAUAAACGUGCGUUUAGGUUUGUUGUUAAUAUACAAUAAAUAAGGCUGGAAAUCACUGAGGGCUAUAAGGUAUGAUUAACGUGCGACGCGUUUCCAUAGUAUUUGUCACUCAUGAACAUUUUCGUGACGUUAAGGCCAAAGGUCUUGCCUUUCCGUUUUAAUGAAGGCUCCUAUAGACAAUUAUCGUGGAAAAGACAAAUGGAAAACUUCGUGUAUUUUAAUAACUCUUAGAUGUAGAAUCGAAAAGUGAAAAACUCCUCUCUUUGGAAUCGAAAAAAGUGUUAAAUAAAGCGUUAAUAUUACACAAUUCUUAGAUCCAUUAGACCCUGUGCUGUGAACGUUUGAAGCGUGAAGUAUUAAAAUGAUAAAGUUGGUCAAGAUGAACACGCUCUAUCAACAACAAUGGUUUUGUGUGUAGACUUGUAUUAUUAAACCAUUUGCUGGUGUAA